rnacentral:misc_RNA from 1 species
UUUCCGUUGGUGAACCUGCGGAAGGAUCAUUGUCGAACCCUGCCCAGCAGAACGACCCGCGAACUUGUAUAAACAACCGGGGGCAGGGGCGAUCUCGCCCCGUGCCCUCGAACGGCAGGGAGACACUCGUGCCUUCUUGUCGAACAACGCACCCCGCCGCGGUCUGCGCCAAGGAACUUCAAUUAAAGAGUGCCUCCGGUCGCCUCGGAAACGAUGCGCGUGUCGGAGGCGAAUCUUGUACAAAACCAUAACGACUCUCGGCAACGGAUAUCUCGGCUCUC